GAUGAACGCUGGCGGCGUGCCUAAUACAUGCAAGUCGAGCGAACGGACGAGAAGCUUGCUUCUCUGAUGUUAGCGGCGGACGGGUGAGUAACACGUGGAUAACCUACCUAUAAGACUGGGAUAACUUCGGGAAACCGGAGCUAAUACCGGAUGAUAUUUUGAACCGCAUGGUUCAAAAGUGAAAGACGGUCUUGCUGUCACUUAUAGAUGGAUCCGCGCUGCAUUAGCUAGUUGGUAAGGUAACGGCUUACCAAGGCAACGAUGCAUAGCCGACCUGAGAGGGUGAUCGGCCACACUGGAACUGAGACACGGUCCAGACUCCUACGGGAGGCAGCGGUAGGGAAUCUUCCGCACUGGGCGAAAGCCUGACGGAGCAACGCCGCGUGAGUGAUGAAGGUCUUCGGAUCGUAAAACUCUGUUAUUAGGGAAGACCAUAUGUGUAAGUAACUGUGCACAUCUUGACGGUACCUAAUCAGAAAGCCACGGCUAACUACGUG
rnacentral:rRNA from 1 species